ACACACACACACACACUCACACCCCCCCCCCCCCAAAUGAAUAAUAGGGCCUGGAAAGGUGACUUAGCAGUUAAGAGCAAGCACUUCCUGCUCUUCCAGAGGACCUAAGUUGGGUUCCAAGCACCCACAUUACUUGGCUCACAACUAACUGCUUGUAACUCCAGCUCCAGGGAAUCCAGCACCCUCUUCAGGCCUUCACAGGUACCUUCAUACAUAUGGCACCCACACAUACAUAAAUAAAAACAAAUAUAAAAUGAAUUAAUAAUUUUUAAGAAAUGAGCUUGUAGUUGGAGUGUAGCAUGAUGGAAGAGGACUUACUCAGCAUUCUUAAGACUGUGUUUGAUACCUAGCAUACACAUAGAUACACACACACACACACACACACACACACACACACACACAGACAUACACACAGAGAGAAAUACAAACACCUGAAAAGGAGAAAUAAAUAAUCUCAUUUUAAUCAUCUUCCAGAUAGCUUUGUAUGUACUGGUAAAUCCAAGAAAUCCUUCAGACAUUUUGCUUCUAGCCUCAGAUGAAAAACACGUAAAACCAGGGCAGAAGGCAUCCUGGCCAUCACUGAGGAUGGAGCUGGAUCACCGAUGAAGUUCUCAGAAGCCUGCCUUAUUCCUGUGCCUGGACUCUUAGGUUCUUGUUUGGCUUCUACGGUUUCAAGUUGGGUGUUCUGACACAGCCAAAAACAACCCAACGGAGAAAAGGCCUCCUGAAUCUGUGAGGCACCUUUAUAUAACUCAUCAUUUAGUGAAAUCAGAAAGUUUAGCAUGAAGCGUCUCAGUGGAAUUAGAAGCUGUUGCUAUUAUGAAAUUGUGAGGCAGAGAUGACUAUUGAAAUUAAUGCAACACAAACGACCGGAGAGCUGUUUCAUUAGGCCGGGGAAAGAGGCAGUUCCUAAUUACUGCCAGAUGCUUGUUCCUUUUGCAUGGAUGCCAGGAGGGUGAAACAGCCACCGAGGAAGGAAGUAUUUUCUGAGGAGAGCCGGAUAUUUAGAUUUCUGGGCAGGCUCACAGCGUGAACAUAAACAAUAUUUUAAAAAAUACCUUCUUUCUUCAUGUGGUGGACAGCUGCUGCUCUGGCUGGCCUGGAAGCCAUCUUGGCUUUUCUGGGGGCGGGGCAGGGGUGAGUGGGGAGCUAGCACCCCACUUCUCUGUGUCUCUCUCCUCUGCCUUGUGCCCUGUCAUCUCGUGGGAACCAGCCACACCUGAUCCCAUCCCAGACACUAACCCCCAAAGGUGGGAAUGUGUCUUCAGGCCACUCCCACUCUCACAAGAACUCAGAUCUCCAGGGGAAUGAUGCAAGAGGGAAACGCUCCUUGGAGUCAUUCCUAAAGGGACCCUCCAUGGGUCACGUGAGGGACCCAGAGAUUGCCUUUCGGAAGCCUGGAUCUAGGGGCUCUCCAGUGGCUUCACUUAGGGCAGUGCUGUGUUUUAGCUAUUAUGGUUUAGGUGAGCUGGGUGGGAGUGUGGGUGGAAGCUUGGUUCUGUGUAUAGUGUUGGGAGGAGGCAUGUGUGACUAUAAGCCUGAUAUAAAUGUGUUUAUAGCCCUAAGCUAUCAUAUAAUCAAUUAGAAAAAGUUUAUUGGGAAUGAAAGCGUAUUUUGCUAAUAUGUUUAACACACCAUAGCAUUUACUGCUUACAGGGCACUGCUUCUUUGUUUACUCCUCAUUGUCAUCCACUGGUGUGUCCUUCCUUUGUCCACUGGUGUGUCCUUCCUUUGCUUUUGUUUUAGAUUUAUUUAUUUUUAUUUUAUGUGUAUGUUUUGCCUGCAUGUAUGUGUGUGCGUCUCCUGUGUGUCUGGUGCCCGUGGAGGUCAGAAGAGGAGGCAGAUUCUUUGGGACUGGGGUUAUGGUUGGUUGUGAGCCGCCAUGUGGGUCUUCUGCAAGAGCCAGUGCCCCUAAUCACUGAGCCAUCUCUCCAGUUCUCAGUCACAAGGCUGGUAAAUUAUGGAGCCUUGAUUCAGACGGUUACUCUCUGAAUAAAAUGGUAUAGGUGCAAAAAGAGCUGAAGGCCAGGAGCAAGGGACUGAACAGAGGUUGCCAAAAGCCCCUGGGUUCCAGCUAUCCUUUUUUGAGUACAUUGAAAACUGCUUAGAAUUUCCAAGGGGAAAAUGCUCAUCUUCUUAGUUAACAAGUGUGAACUGAGCCCAAACACCUGUGUUUUCCUUUUGCUGUUGCUAGGUGAUCCGUGAGCAUCCUUGGAACAAUAAAUUAUUGAAAUCUAUGCUGAGCAUAGUUAAUUGUAUAAUUUCAGCUUCUAGCAUUUAUUUCCAUUAAAACUGCCUCAUCAUGUUGGGGGUGUUUAAAAGGCUGAGCAGGAAAAGGGGCAAGUAGACAAUUAUAGCUUUAUUUAUAGUUGCUCUCCUCCACAGUGGACUUCUCUCAGCCCAUUAUUAUCGACUCUAUUAAACACAUGUGGAAUCAGGCACUAAGUCGUUCAACUCCAGGUGCUGAGCUCCUACCAUGUCAAGCAGUGUUCUGGGCUCUGGGGACGUGCCAGUGUACAGGCAGAUAAAACCCUUUGCCUUCACGGUGCUGAUAUUUUUCUGGGGCACUCAUGCUUUAGUUUGAUCAGGCGGCUAUUAUUUUAUAGUAUAUGAUACUUGUUAUAAUGAAGAACAUCAUCGAUUCUAUGAAAUACAGAUAUGGCAUCUCCAUUUUAUAGAUAAGAAAACCGAGGCACAACAAUAUGAAAUAACUUGCUCCAAAUCCCACGGCCGGAAAUAGCCAAGCCUCACUCCUGACUUGCAUGGUUCCAGACUCUGUACACCCAGUGAUUGUACUCUCUCUUUGUAGAUGUGGCUGGCUGAAGGAGGUCAUCACAUCUUAUAUUGCCACUGCACGGUUGAAAAAGUCUGCAUCUCUCCAAGCUCCCGAUUGCUUCCAUCACUGCAGAGAAUGCGUUUGUCGGAGGACUGUGCUGGCUCUCUGGGGGAGAUGUUAGUUGGCCUGGUGUCUAUAGUCAGUCCCCAAAGAGAGGACACUGUGACCAAAGAUUGCCUGCCCACGGUGACAGUAUCUUCUUGGAGACAGUGAAGAUCUGUUAUGUGUCCCAGAUUCAUAGGAACAACCUAUUCACUCCAUAUACGCUAAAGUACUUGUCCUCACAACAAAGUAUGAUAUAUUUCAGAAAGUUAAUGAUGACCUAAUUAUCUGGUCCUAACUUCUCUAAAGUUGUGAUGUGUCUUGUAAAGUGUUCUCUUAUAAUUGUUAUCAGCCAGGAAGUAUUUGUGAUAGCAUGGCUGCCCAUUGAUGUUGCACUAAAUCACAGCUGUUUGUGUACCUCUCCAUUGCUCCCGGUGCUGGAGGAACCCCAGUCCCUCACAUAUGUUAAAGCAAGUGCUGUACCACUGAGCUGCCCUCCAGCCCCUGCUCACAUUUCAGUUGAAUUCUCAACAGUGUUGAUACUGGUUUGUUUCUUGAUUAUGAUGUUUCCCUGGUUCUUGUCUGUUGACGUCUGCUGCUAAGAUCAUUUUGCAAAAUGGAGUGCCAGUGGUGAGAAUGGGGGGUGGGGCAACGAGAAGAGAGGCAGCUGGGAGUACAAUCACAUAUAGCCCUGUGGUCAUGCUAAAAACUGUUGUCUUCAUCCUGAAAGAACAUUGCUUCCCUGAAGAUUAAUUGUCCUUACUUCUGCCCCUGUCGGAAACUAUCCCCAAAGGCUAAUUCUCACUUUAAGGACAGGAAUCAUUUUGCUGAAAGGCUCUGACAGAAAUCUGUCUAUUGAUAAGGUACAGUUCCUUCCCCAUAUGGCUACCUUUUAGGUCUUGAAAUAUGACAAAAUUUACCCACAGGUAAAAUACCUUUAAAACUCAAUUUAGACCCAAGUCUCAGGUUUGUCAAUCACUUUGCGUAAAGGCAGGAUAACUUGCCUAUAUGUCAGCAUGCUAUGCAGCCGAGGCUAGUCAGAAUCUUUUAGGAUGCCUGCGGAGUAGCAAGGCAGUCUCUGUAUUUACAUGUCAUAUUUAAUUAGUUCAAAGAUGCUCAUUUUCCCACAUCUUACUCUCCUAAAAUGAGGAUUUCACUAUAGAAAGGCCUGGUAGCCUCGCCUCGGCAGCAUCUUUCUUUUUUGUUGAUAUGUAAUGACAACUGUAGAGCUGGUAGUGUUUUAGAUACAGUGAUAGAGUAAACAAGUGUCAAAUUCCUGGAAGCGGAGCCUAAGAUACAUUGCGGGGGUUAUACUCGUUCAUUUCUAUGACAAUAAUGAGAUACCCCAGGCUAAGUGCCAUAUUAAGAAGGACGUUUACUUAGCUCACAGUUGAGCAGCUUCUGCUGGGUUCUGGUGAAGGCAGAUAUCCUUAUGGAUACCUAAUGUACCUAAUGGAGAGGUACACAAACAGCUGUGAUUUAGUGCAACAUCAGUGGGCAGCCAUGCUAUCACAAAUACUUCCUGGCUGACAACAAUUAUAAGAGAACACUUUACAAGACAGUGAAUAACCUUACAAUGGCAAGAUCACAUGUAGGAAGGAGAGCUCCCACAGCAAGACAGGAAACCAGUUUUUUGAGGGAUGGGCUGCUCUGCUUUAUGGUCACAGUGUCCACAAAAUGCAGCUGCUUGGAAGAAACAGCAUCAUUGCUCCUGGCGGCACUCAAAGGAAUGGAUGUAUCCUGAUGGUGUCUGAUUUUCCAGCCGAGAGUUCGCAGGCCGCCACUGGCGCAGGGCAACCAGAACCUUCGAGAAGCCUCAUCUACCCAGGAUGAGCUUGACUUCGUAUUUGAAUUGACCUAGAAUAAAUGCUAACGUGGUUAAAGAUGCAACUUGACCAAAUUGCGCCUUCACAGAGUUACACUUGGUGUUAAGGAGACCUUGGCUCAGGGUAUCCAUUGGAGGCCGGCUUACAGAUGAAAAGACUGAUCUCCAUGGUGGCCCCCAGUUCGGCAGUGGCGGAGUCAUGGCUGCAUGCUGAGGUCUGCCCAACGUCAGAGCACAUGGUCCUUCCGUGGUUGCUCAUUGCCCCCAUGGUGAAGAUUCAAAGCUGAACACAGUGACUAACUGGCAGAAUCUGUCACAGCAGGGAGUAGACUCCAUCAGGAGUGCUGCUGCUGUUUAUUGUGCUUGACUGUGAGUUCUGUAUAAUUCUCACGCUCAUAAUGUGGUCUGUGUGGGAGCAUGGAAAGUGCCUAGAAACCAUGCACUGUAUGAUUUGCUACUACAUUGUCACAGAGGAACUAGAUCAGUGGUUCUCAGCCUAUGGGUCAUGACCCCUUCAGGGAGGUUGAACUACCCUUUCACAGGGGCUACAUAUCAGAUAUCCUGCAUAUCAAUCAGAUAUUUACACUGUGAUUCAUAACAGUAGCAAGAUUACAAUUAUGAAGUAGUAAUGAAAAUAGUCUUAUGUUUGGGGGUCACCACAACAUGAGGAGCCAUAUUAAAGGGUCGCAGAGUUAGGAAGGUUGAGGGCCACUGAACUAGAGAAUAGUGCAGACAAUAUUGAGCCUUCCCACGGGGCCAGGUAUACAGUAUGGAAUACAUUAAAUUUGAGCACAUUAUUUUUUCACUCUCCAUUUCUGGCUGCCUCCUAGGUAGAAGUAGACAUGGAUAUCUGAUCAUCCAUCAUGUCCUAUGGGAAAUCACGUAUGUAGCCUUUGACAUGACCAGCAUUUACAAGGCUCUAUUGAGUAUGUGAUCAAGUCUUGGUUAUCGGGCACACACAAGUGGAAAAGCACAGCUUCAA